rnacentral:rRNA from 1 species
UGGACCCACCUGAACCCAUUCCGAACUCAGAAGUGAAACGAAAUAGCGUCGAUGGUAGUGUGGGGUUUCCCCAUGUGAGAGUAGAACAUCGCCAGGC